rnacentral:lncRNA from 1 species
CUCCUUAGGCUACCAUUUCAAUCCCAGCAGUCCAUGGGGUGGAAUCUCUUCCCUAGCCUUCUCACAAAACUCUACAUUGGAGGUCUGUGGAUCUUCAUAUAGAGAACUGAGCAGUUAGGCUGAAUCUCUUGAUAUCUGCCCUGGUCACUCCCCAGGACCAAAGGCCAAGUCCAGUUCUGCAAUCCUAUGGAGAUUUCUUUCCCAGGCUCUGCCCAGCCCAAAGAGGACUCAGAAGAAACACCAUUCCCAUGCAUAAUGGCCCCUUCAUUCAACACCCCAGUACAGACAGUAUGUGGGUGGGGUGACAGUGACUGCCACAUCCCCAAAAGAGCCUGGCAGCUUGAGCUGGCUCCUCAGAGUCCUCUAAUACAAGUUCUGACAGCAGCUGCUGAAGGAGACAGACAGCCUUGGUCAGCCACAAUUACCACUCCUCCCUCUCUCUACCACACUUUUCUCCUUGGAGGUUCUCACAGCUACCAGUUUGGAUUUUCAAUGAGAAAGGAAUAAUGAUGUCACACUGGACUCUUUUCUGGCCUGUGAGAGAUAAGCGUUUAGCCAAUCUGCUGAUAAUCGAAUACACCAUGAGACAGCCCUGAAAGCGACAGGAAGAACCAACCAAAGCUGUCACAGAGCUGCCAGUGUGGAAUGGCAAAUUUAUUGGGACAGAAUGCGGUUUUUAUUUUUUGUUUCCAAGUACAGUCUGAACCACUUGGCUAGCAGAUCAAAGGCCUGCUUCUCUAAGAGUGAUGGAGUUAAUUCCCAAGGAACCUUACCAUAUCUGAAGGGACCAGCUCCCCAUUUCGGCAGCCAUAACAGCUAAACACGUGUUUGUCUGACCUUGUCUUAGUCACUAAGAGGUCAGACGCCUGCCUUGUGGCAAGGAACCAAUGAGAAGUUCACUGAUGGGGCUAUGCUUUACAGCUCUGGGUGUGCUUUACAGACAAGUGCACAGCAAUGACACGCAGAGCAUAGCAACCACCCUGGGAGGGCCUAUGGGCCAUAACAACCAGUUGGCCAAUCAACACAGGGCAAGCCCUCCAAGCCUGGAGGCACAUCAAUCCUGAGCCUGUGCGUACCCCUAGACACUCCCCUUACGCUGCCCUACAAGAUCUCUAUGCAGCCAGUUCGAGCUGUCCUUCUAGCCAUCCACCAUGGUGGAUGGCUUGAAAGACCGGAGCUAACAUGGGGUUAGCUUGUUAAACAACAAUAAAGCCUUGUGCAGUUUGCAUCAAGCUUUCGACUCCACAUGGUGAUUGGGGUGGCCGAGGUCCUGGGCAGAGAUCCUGGAAGCCUGAGCUUUCCGGGGGUCUUAUAAUCAAAACUAUUUCUUUUUUAAUAUGUAUGUGUUUGGGUGUGUAUGUAUGUAUUGUUAGACCCCC